UCCACAAAUAAUGAAGACAAUACUGUAGAGAGUGAGAGGUAGGGGCAGAUCCACAAAGAAUUAAGACAAUACUGUAGAGAGUGAGAGGUAGGGGCAGAUCCACAAAGAAUUAAGACAAUACUGUAGAGAGUGAGAGGUAGGGGCAGAUCCACAAAGAAUUAAGACAAUACUGUAGAGAGUGAGAGGUAGGGGCAGAUCCACAAAGAAUUAAGACAAUACUGUAGAGAGUGAGAGGUAGGGGCAGAUCCACAAAGAAUUAAGACAAUACUGUAGAGAGUGAGAGGUAGGGGCAGAUCCACAAAGAAUUAAGACAAUACUGUAGAGAGUGAGAGGUAGGGGCAGAUCCACACAUAAUUAAGACUAUACUGUAGAGAGUGAGAGGUAGGGGCAGAUCCACACAGAAUUAAGACAAUACUGUAGAGAGUGAGAGGUAGGGGCAGAUCCACACAGAAUUAAGACAAUACUUUUU